rnacentral:rRNA from 1 species
GAUGAACGCUGGCGGCGUGCCUAAUACAUGCAAGUCGAGCGAACAGAUAAGGAGCUUGCUCCUUUGACGUUAGCGGCGGACGGGUGAGUAACACGUGGUUAACCUACCUAUAAGACUGGGAUAACUUCGGGAAACCGGAGCUAAUACCGGAUAAUAUUUCGAACCGCAUUGUUCGAUAGUGAAAGAUGGUUUUGCUAUCACUUAUAGAUGGACCCGCGCCGUAUUAGCUAGUUGGUAAGGUAACGGCUUACCAAGGCGACGCUACGUAGCCGACCUGAGAGGAGGAUCAGCCCCACUGGAACUGAGACGCGGUCCAGACUCCUACGGGAGGCAGCAGUAGGGAAUCUUCCGCAAUGGGCGAAAGCCUAGCGGGGCAACGCCGCGUGAGUGAUGAAGGUCUUCGGAUAGUAAAACUCUGUUAUUAGGGAAAAACAUACGUGUAAGUAACUGUGCACGUCUUGACGGUACCUAAUCAGAAAGCCACGGCUAACUACGUG